rnacentral:rRNA from 1 species
UACGUAGGGGGCAAGCGUUGUCCGGAUUUAUUGGGCGUAAAGAGCGUGUAGGCGGUCUGGUAGGUCCGUUGUGAAAACUCUGGGCUCAACCCAGAGCCUGCAUCCGAAACUGGAGUGCUAGAGUUCUGGAGGGGGUAGCGGAAUUCCUGGUGUAGCGGUGAAAUGCGUAGAUAUCAGGAGGAACACCGGUGGCGAAGGCGGCUACCUGGACAGAAACUGACGCUGAGGCGCGAAAGCUAGGGGAGCAAACAGG